rnacentral:rRNA from 1 species
CCUACGGGCGGCAGCAGUGGGGAAUAUUGGACAAUGGGGGGAACCCUGAUCCAGCCAUGCCGCGUGUGUGAAGAAGGCCCUCGGGUUGUAAAGCACUUUCAGUGAGGAAGAACGCCUGGUGGUUAAUACCCAUCAGGAAAGACAUCACUCACAGAAGAAGCACCGGCUAACUCCGUGCCAGCAGCCGCGGUAAUACGGAGGGUGCGAGCGUUAAUCGGAAUUACUGGGCGUAAAGCGCGCGUAGGUGGCUUGAUAAGCCGGUUGUGAAAGCCCCGGGCUCAACCUGGGAACGGCAUCCGGAACUGUCAAGCUAGAGUGCAGGAGAGGAAGGUAGAAUUCCCGGUGUAGCGAUGAAAUGCGUAGAGAUCGGGAGGAAUACCAGUGGCGAAGGCGGCCUUCUGGACUGACACUGACACUGAGGUGCGAAAGCGUGGGUAGCAAACAGGAUUAGAUACCCCUGUAGUC